GGCGAGCUCCACGAAUGUGUGCGUGCGCGCAACAACGUGUUUGAGUGUGUGCGCGAGUGUGUGAACGUGUGUGUGUGUGAUAGAGAGAGUGAGUGUGUGUGUGCAUGCGUGCGCGCGUGUGUCUGCUCUGCUGUUGCUGCCCUUUGAUCCCUGCAUUAGUGUUAGUUAGGGGCUCGGAGACACACUUGCACCGAGAGCAGCCAUAGUCAAGACACGGCAACAACAACAGCGGCACCUCCUCCGCCUGUGUUCCCAUUCCCCAACAAUACACUUUAAACCGAGCAAAGCCAGGUGCACGACCAAGUCCCUGCCAUCACUGGCGCCUCCAGUCUCAAUGGGAAAAACCUUUUUUCUUCUUAUCCCUAAACAAGGACGAGAAUGUGAUUAAAAACGGGGGAAAAUGCCAAGGAGGAAGCAGGAGCAACCCAAGCGCCUGCCUUCACACACAAAAUCACCUCUGCGAGGAGCUUCAGUUUGCCAGAAAACUACACAGCAGGGUGAUGGCCUGUUCUUUUCGCACUUGUUCCAAAGAAUGUACCCCAUCUACUUGAGAAUGCUGGCGCGACAUCCACGUCUUGGUUGAAUGAGGUUACUUUUGUCAACCGGAAGAAAAAUUUAUGCGAUCUGACUUGUAUGUCAAGUGGCUUGUAAUUAGUAGUUUUCAAAACUACAUGAAAUGGUAAUCUGACCUGUAUUCAUGACAGUUUUGUCUGAUAUAAAGCAAAUAUGUGAGGGGUUAUUUUAGUUGAGCAUUUGCGGGCAUAUGCUAAUUACUCAGUGUUUGAGAAAAGGAAAAAAAGUAAAAAAAGCACUGAAAAUAUAUUGCUGUUAUGUCUCUGUAGUAGCUGUAAUAAACUGGUUACCACCA